UUGUUGUCCUGGCCAGUAUUAUAUGCGGAUGUUAAGAAUUAACCACGCCAUGGUUAAGUUUAAAGCCCAAGUAGGAUGAAACUGCGGCCGGUUCAUUAUACCAGUAAUAGUUUUUUGGGUUAGUCGGUCCAAGGAUAACUUUGUGAAUGAUAAAGUUAAUACUUGAGCCGAUCCGGGAAGUAUUUUACUUUCCGGCCCUCGGCCGCGAGUUUGGGGAAAAACGACAUUUUUUUGUGAAAAAGGAUGCCGCGACAAUUGAGGAAAGCGACGCUUUUGACAAGUAACCAAUGGGAAUUUCUGAUCUAUCAAUUUGUUGGUAGUAUCGAGGACUACCAAGAUUAUAACGGAUAACGAGGAAUUGGGGUUCGACAUCGGAGAGGGAGCUUUACAGAUGGCUACCACUUCUAAGGAAGGCAGCAGGCGCGUAAAUUACCCACUUUCGACCCGAAGAGGUAGUGACGACAAAUAACUCUUGGCGCCCCUCGGGGUGACUUGAAGGAAUGAUUUAGAAGCUAAAUUCUCUAAAGAAAUCAAUGGAGGCAAAUCUGCCCCCCCCCC
rnacentral:rRNA from 1 species